rnacentral:tRNA from 1 species
UAAAAAGUAGUGUACUGGAUGCACUUAAAGUUUUGAUCUUUAGAGGGUGGGUUCGAGUCCCAUCUUUUUAG